GCUAUGCCCCUAACAGGGCAUACUAUAUAAAACUCCAAACUUACUGUCUGAGAAGGCCAUGUGCCGUAAUCUUUAAACAUUUUAAAACUUUCAACAACGGAUCUCUUGGCUCUCGUAUCGAUGAAGAACGCAGCGAAAUGCGAUAAGUAAUGUGAAUUGCAGAAUUCAGUGAAUCAUCGAAUCUUUGAACGCACAUUGCGCCCUUUGGUAUUCCAUAGGGCAUGCCUGUUCGAGCGUCACUAACAACCCCAUCACAAAGAGUGUGGUAUUGGCAGAAGUGGGUAGGGCUAGCAGUGCUUGGCCCCACUCUGCUGGAAUGAAUAGGCCGGAAAUGUAGACCAUGGUCACAGACUUUCAGAGUAUUUUGAAAUGCUAAAUUAGUUUGUAGGCUUGGUUGGAAUCUAGGCCAUUCGACCCCUAUUCUGUGUAAAGCAGUAAUGUUGACCUCGGAUCAGGUAGGAAUACCCGCUGAACUUAA
rnacentral:rRNA from 1 species